AGUCACGGAGGGAGUGAGGGAGACUAAACAAUCCAGAAAACAAAAGGUGCUCAAUUUCUCGACUCCACCCUGCCGAAAUGUAUCUUUCGUAGUCUACCUUCAAUUUAUCAAUGGCGGAAACGAAUUAUCUACCUUAAAUCUCAUCUUCCAAUCAAUUGUGUUUCGGUAAUCUUGCCCCCUUCAAUUUCAAACUUCUUUGUCUGGUUGUUCGUCAAUUUUACGCAAUGGGCAGAAUAGUCGUAUGAUUUAUGGGCAAUUUUGAACCUUUAUGUCAUUUUCUUGCUCCAAUUUUCCCUAAUUUGUACCUGAUUUGUUUGUCUAUAUCAUCAAAAUUAGCAAUAAAAAAAGAGAACGAAAAAUUCCCAAUUCAAUUUGCAACCUAGGUUAACAUGUCAUCCAUUCCUGUAGAUGUGAUUACUGAUAUUCUUCUUAGAUUGCCGGCAAAAUCUUUGCUACGCUUCAAGAGUGUGUGCAAAUUAUGGUAUCAUAUAAUUGAGGGCACUGAUUUCAUCAAGCACCAUUUUCAACAAUCCAAUAAUCUGCAUUUAGUUUACAGGAGCCCUGUCCUUUAUAUGAGUGAUUUUGACUCAUUUGAUAAUACUAUUGAACUUGAUUACCCUUUCAAGAAUCUGAGUGGUGGUGUUUAUGUGGCGGGAUCGUGCCACGGCUUGCUUUGCUUCGCCAUGUUUUCUGACCCCUUCACAGUUUUCUUGUACAACCCCACUACGCAAAAACACAAAACCCUCCCAUUUUUGCCACGCAGACCCAUCUUUGGCAGGGGAAAUCUUGGGUUUGGUUAUGAUCACGUGUCAGAGGACUACAAGUGUGUUUGGAUAUUUCAGGUUAAAUCUGUUGAUGAAAUGGGUUCUUUCAACAGUCAAGUAAUGGUUUAUAGCUUGAGAGCGGAUUCAUGGAGACGGGGGGCUCAGGAUGUUCCAUAUUACUUUGAUUGCCACUCUGGUAAUAAUGUCGAUUUUGAUGGAAUUCUGCAUUGGUCAAUUGAUGAUAAUAGAGUGCCCCUUCCUAUAGUUACCUUUAAUCUCAGUGAUGAAAGUUUUAGCUCCGUACCCCUUCCUAACUUCCAAACAGAAAUGUUUACGGGCGCUCACACAGGAGUGCUUGAUGACUGCUUGUGUGUUAUGCUCAACUAUUUUGAACAUUAUGAUGUAUGGAUUAUGAAAGAGUAUGGCAGACCCGCAUCUUGGACUAAGCUGUUUAGGUUUCCGAAACAAGAGAUGAUGGAGGAGUGCAGUCCUCUUUAUUUCUCGAUGAUCAAGAAGCAAUUUUUUGUGACCUUUAACUUUCGUCAUGUUGCUUCUUUGGACUUGGAAACUUCGGAGAUUACGAAGGUUAAACUCCCUGGUUUCAACAGAGUUAUAUGUGCACAUGUAUGUCCGGAGAACCUUUUUAAGUUCAAGGAUGCUGAAGAUGUUCUUGUGGGCACGCAACAACAACGGAAAAAGAACAGCAAAAGGCAAAGGUUGAUGAGGAGAACUGAGAGGCUCUUACAACACCAUGAUUCAGUCUAUCGAUCAAUCUUUGGAAUGCAACGCCACAACGGCGCUGACCCAAAUGUAGGAUCUUGAACCUCAUCAUAUUUUCACAUUCCAACAGUAGAGGUGUUGGAGCUCAAUUACCUUUCAAGAAGUCGGAUGUUGAAAUCAGAAGAUGAAUCUGGAAUCUGGAAUCUGGAAUCUGGACGAUAAAUUUUGAUGGGAAUUCUUUGCAAUCUGGAUGAGUUACAACUCCUUCAACAUUCAUGGCUGUUGACAACUUUUUUUAUUUUUAAUGGGGCAUCUGAAUCUUCUACGAACUAUGCAUUUGAUGCUUCUGUCUCUUCCACAAAAAGUCAUGGGUACGACUUUAUAGGUCUGCCUGAGUAUGUAAGAUGUAGCCUUUAUCAGCUAGUUAAGUCCUUUAUUUACUGCUUAAGUAUAUUGGCGCCUUUAAUUUAAGCAUAUUGGCACCAA